AAAUCAUAAUUCAUUAAUAUACCGCAAUUAAAAUAAUAAUAUGAUUUGAGUAGUGUACAAGCCCAAAUUUGCCCAGGGCCCAAAUAACCCUUACAAUGGCCCAAACCCAAUAAUCCAAACCCAAUACAACACAACCCAAACAAAUUUAACCCUAAGCCCAAAUGGCCCAAAAAAUUAGGCCAAUUUUCAGCUAAGGGAAAACCCUAGGUGCGCCGCACCUAGGUCUUUAGCCUAGCCCGUACGUCCCUAGCUCUGCCACUGCCGCGCCGCACGGCCUCCUCACCGGCCUCACCUGCUCCACCUGCUACACCUGCAAAACGAAGAACAACACGCAACAAUCAAUGAAAAAGCAAAGGGGAAAUCAAAUAGAAAUUAGAAUUGGCUAUAAAAGCCGAAUAGGGUUGAUGUAAAAAGGGGGGCGACUUUUGUAAAC
rnacentral:lncRNA from 1 species